rnacentral:lncRNA from 1 species
UUUGAGAUUAACAAUAUAGGUAGUAGUAGUGCAUGAUAUGCUUGGUGCUCGAUCCAUAUGUACUAUAUGUGCUAAUAUGAUGUCUUACUAGUUGGAUAAGGCCAUCUUGAAUUGAAAUGAAGAAUUUGCAAUGAAAUUUUAUACUUGUUUUCAGGUAUCUCAUUACCCAUGAUGCAGUGGAUUCGAGAAAUAGACAAUGCAGUGGACAAAGAACUUAGGAAAUUGCGGAAGCAUUAGUCCACAUAUUGAAUUUUGGUACGUUUCUAGUGCGAAGGUUAGGAAGUUUGAUGCAUUGCUAGGAUUCGGUCUGAGCUUUAGGCACCCCCUCAUGUUUUUAUAUUUGUGUUUGAAGUUGUUGUGGUUUAGCCAGAUUUUGUUUUGAGGUUCUCUCCUAAUUUUUUAUACUUACUUUGUUCAAAACAAGAACAGGAAGGAUGUGCUUAAAAAAGACUUGCUAAAAGAAGUUCAAGGAUAGUCAACAUGACUUGCAUUUUCUCAAAAUUUUCAACAUGUUGAGGCAACUCCUUCAUAAUUCAUUCAAUAACACACAUAGGAAGAAACAGUUUGAUAUAAAUAAAAAAACAACCUUGAAUUUCUCUAACAAAUCAUUUGUAUAAACAGUAAAGUGCAAAGUUGUGUGUUAAAAUAGAAAAGGAUUAUAGCAGAGGAAGGGACAAAUCAACAAAGUAAAGUGUCAAACCAGUCCAGAAUUCUUAUAUGCUUCAUACUCACUCCUGAUACAGAUCAACAAAAACUUGACACUUGCAAGAAACCAUAAGAGGACACCGCUAGAAAAUUACCAUUUUUAUCCCAAGGCUGAAUGGAACCUCGCUUCCUGCCACAUUUAUAGGUUUCUCCUCCGUAUCACACACAUAAAACUCAAAUACAGGAGUCCUUGGGCCACUGUAAUGAAGAUGACAUCUUCAUAAAUUACAAAUAUCAAUGAAAACUACGUUGAUCAUAGAAACAAGAUAAGUAGUACAAACAAAAGGACAGAGACACUCAUCUCCGCCAAUUUCUCCCUAAGUUCAGAUCGCCAAAUUAAUCCUAGCAACAGUUGAAAACAUAAAUCAUGUUGUUAAUUAGUUGACAGAAGAUAAGUAGUACAAAUGGAGGCACUCCACCAAUUUCUCGCUAAAUUCAGAUUGCCAAAUCAAUCCUAGCAAUAGACUAAAACGUAUAUCAAAUCAUGUAUUAAUUAGUUGACAGAAGUUAAGUAGUACAAAAGAUAGAGGCACUCAUCUCCACCAAUUUCUCCCCAAGUCCAGAUUGCCAAAUCAAUCCUAGCAACAGUUGAAAUUUUAUGUCAAGUCACGUAUUCUUGUUAAUUACGUAUAUCAAAUCAUUUAUCCUUGUUAAUUAGUUGACAGAAGAUAAAUAGUACAAAGGAAAGAGGCACUAAUCACCAAUUUCUCCCUAUGUUCAGAUUGGCAACUCAAUCCUAUCAACAGUCGAAAGUCUAUAUCAAAUCAAAUAUCCUUUUUAUAAGUAAGUAGCACAAACCAAUUUCUCCAUUUCAGAAGGAAAACUUAAAAGUGAAAUGUGAUUGGAGACUUCUGUUGCACUUCAAACCUAUGUAACACUUAACCAUGACAAACAGACGGAAGAUAGUUUAAAUCUCCAAACCAAGCCGUUGUUAGACAUAUCAGAACUCCAGCUAUGUUUCCAAGUUCCACAAAACAUAACUGUUACCUAUUACUCAAACCUUAAACACAAAACAACAUCUGUUGACGAUUAAUAAUACUUGCUGUAACAUAGAAAUUAGAGAACAAUCAAUUAUAACCCAAACAAACUAAACAAUCAGAUCAUUACAUAAGAACUGCAAACAUCAGUCUACCAAAGAAUCAACCAUAAAAGAAUAACAUGAGGAUCAAACAAGAGAAUGAUAGAUAGAAUCGUAAGAAAUCAUACAUAGAUUAUUGCUCCUGCAACACCAAAGAGUAACUAAUCAAGAAAUAUUCACUCUCAGAGUAGUUAAAGAAAUAUUGAAAACAAAUAGAUUAUGAUAGAUAUCACCAAAUAAAUACACUAGGCUCUAUGCUGCGAAGGAAGUCAUCGGUUUGACAAACCGUGCUGCAGACAAAAAUGUUCAAAAUUCAAUGUUUAUAAAUACACUAGGCUCUAUGCCUUGCUAUCAAAUCCCANGAAGUCAUCGGUUUGACAAACCGUGCUGCAGACAAAAAUGUUCAAAAUUCAAUGUUUAUAAAUACACUAGGCUCUAUGCCUUGCUAUCAAAUCCCAAAAAAAUUUAAAUAAUAAAGGACUCAUUAAAGAAAAAUCGUGUUCCCCCGUUCUUGUCCAUUACAUCAAGUCUCCUAGAUUUCAAGACUUCCCUGCUAACAGUACAACGGAUAAACGAAUCUUCGAUUAUCAAAGGAAGACUUAUAUCGAAAAAUAACAUAAAUAGAAAGAAAGAAAAGAAAAACAUGACAGAGUGUGAAAUAUAUGCUCUCAGUAGCAUUGAAGGGAUGAAUUUACUAGAUAGAGAUCACCAGAAAAAUACUCAAGGCUCCAUACUCAGAAGGACUUAGACACACCAAGCUGCAGAAAAAGCAUGUUCACAGUUCAACUCUUCUCAUAAUCAAUAGCUUGAUAUUAAAAACAAAUAAAGAAUGAAUCACUGAAGAAAUUUGAUUUAUCUAUUUGAAGCCACUCUGUUCAUAUCCGUUGUGUCAAGAAUCGUAAAAUGUUUCUAGUUUUCAAGAAUUCUGCCACCUGCUGCAAAAUGGUUAAACAUAUAUCUCGAUUAUCUAAUUUAACGAAAGUAAGAAAACCUAAAUGAGAUUACAUCAAAGCAGAGUCUCAAUUUCUCCAAAAUUGUGUAAACUAUCACACUGUCAGAUUACAUCAAAAACCAAAAUUUAAGGAAUCAGCAGUAUGAUGGUGUUAGAAAACCUAAAGUUGAACUUCUGAGAUAUAACCAAGAGGAAGAUCAAUAGAACCAGAGUAUGUUCAACGAUCACUUCUCCUGCAACAUGGAAGAGUAAAUAACAAAAAAAAAAAACAAAAAAAAAAAAGGAAAUAGGGUGUCAAUAAUUUUUUUUUAUAAAAUGUGAAGAAUUUAAUAGAGAUCACCGAAUAAAAAUGCUAGGCUCCAUGCCAUGAAGACAACUAUGCUGCAGGAAAAUAUGUUCAAAAUUCAAUUCGUACGUCUUGCAAUUGAAUGCCAGAAAUUAAAAUAAUAAAGAAUGGCUCAAUAAAGAAAUUUGAUAUUUAUCUAUCUGGAGCUGUUGUUCUUUUCAGGUGUAUAAAAACUUUCUAGAUAAUGCAGACUUUACAGCUCACUGCAAGAUGGAUAAAUGCAUCGCCAGAUUAUCAAAUGAAGAAUUAUAUCCCAAAAAAUACAGAGACAUGUUUUGAUAACGAAUUUGUAAACAAAGAGUCAAGAGAAGAGUUAAAAUUCAUGACAUCUAUGCUCACGUUUAGCAGGAGAACCCUGAAAUCGAGCAAUCAUGGAGCAAACAGGUUAAGAAAACCAGAAACGAAAGAAAGUUUGAACAAGAAUAAACAAACUUCAGAAUCAAGAAAUCGGAAUCAUAUCCUCUCAUGUAACACCAAAAAGUAAAUUAACANCGGAAAAGAUUCUUAUUCUCAUAUAUCACAGAUAACAAAAAGAAUGGCAGAUUUCGAGAACAAAUAAACUCCAAACCAGGCGAUUCAGAAUAAAUAGUAUGUUAACCUUUGGCUUCCACAGACCACAGCAGACCAAAUAUUCAUAGUCUGUUCAAAAGAACAGAGGGAAGUUGAAGAGUCUCAAACAAAGACAGUUAUCUUCAAUUUCUCCACUUUCCAGACACUAUUGAAAAGGUGCAGUGUGAUUGAGAAAGAAUUAACAUUUGUGGUACACCAAACCCAUGUAACACUAACCCUGUUAACACCAGAUGAAAAUGUACAGAAAAUUAUGCUGUAACAAAUAGGUUGCAACAAAAAGAACUAAGAGAGAAAGAAUAGCAGCCUGAUUCCUCUAAUCAAGUUGAAGAUCAGCAGCAUAACAAAGAGCGGCCCCAUCAAGCUAUCCCAGCAUCUCUAGAAUGGCAUAAACUUUGCACUGUUGAAAGAAGUAGUAUUGAUAGCAACAACUUCUAAGGGUGAUCUUCUCAAUUGAACAUCAAUAAAAAUCGGCAAAAAAGAAAGGAACCAAACUGAAUGUUACUGUUUUUUAACACACAACAUUGCAUCAAAACAACAUAUUUUCAAUUUAACAUGUAUGAAAAUAAAAGUCAGAACCAAAUCAUUUACUGUUUAUACAAAUGAUUUGUUAGAGAAAUUCAAGGUUGUUUUUUUAUUUAUAUCAAACUGUUUCUUCCUAUGUGUGUUAUUGAAUGAAUUAUGAAGGAGUUGCCUCAACAUGUUAAAUUUUGAGAAAAUGCAAGUCAUGUUGACUAUCCUUGAACUUCUUUUAGCAAGUCUUUUUUAAGCACAUCCUUCCUGUUCUUGUUUUGAACAAAGUAGGUAUAAAAAAAAAUUAAGAGAGAACCUCAAAACAAAAUCUGGCUAAACCACAACAACUUCAAACACAAAUCUAAAAACAUGAGUUAGUGCCUAAAGCUCAGACCGAAUCCUAGCAAUGCAUCAAACUUCCUAACCUUUGCACUAGAAACGUACCAAAAUUCAAUAUGUGGACUAAUGCUUCCGCAAUUUCCUAGUCCACUGCAUUGUCUAUUUCUCGAAUGCAGCUACGAAGCUUAAUCCACCGCAUCAUGGGUAAUGAGAUACCUGAAAACAAGUAUAAAAUUUCAUUUCAAUUCAACAUGGCCUCAUCCAACUAGUAAGACAUCAUAUUAGCACAUAUGGAUAGAGCACCAAGCAUAUCAUGCACUACUACUACCUAUAUUGUUAAUCUCAAAUAGCACCGAGUGAAACUGACAAAGGCGCUUCGAGGGCCUUGGGUGGGACAGUGGGGGAUGUGUGACUAUGCCACACCGCCAUAGCACGCUACUAACAUCAUAGAGAACAUUUAGAGUAUGUUCAAUGACCAAACAAUUACUAAUAAUCACAAUCUAUUUUAUUAAAUAUUUCAUCAAUCACCUGAUAUAAAAAUAAAUAAACAACCCAUCAUAAAAUUUCAUAAACAACGAAGACGCCCUUCUUGACAGAUUCAUCACAAACAAGUAAUUGAGGAGAAAACUGAGAAAAUGAAUACCUUUUCUGUCAUUCUUCCGGAUGCCUUCUUCAAAGUAACAUUCGCGAAUGUCGAUCCAAAUUUGUUUCUUCCAAGACUUCACGCAAACCAUCUUGUGUCCAUCUUUUGAGGAACCAAGAUCACAGACAACGAUUUCGUCGUCGGGAUCAGAUUUCGUCCAUCUUUUGAGUGCAUAUUCAGAAUCCGAUCCCGACGACGAAAUCGUUGUCUUUGAUCUUGGUUCCUCAAAAGAUGGACACAAGAUAGUUUGCGUGAAAUCUUGGAAGAAACAAAUUCGGAUCGACAUUCUCGAGAAUGUCGCUUUGAAGAUGGCAUUCGUAAGAAUGGUAGAAAAGGUAUUUCAAUUCAUUUUCUCAGUUUUCUCCUCAAUUACUUGUUUGUGAUGAAUCUGUCAAGUAGGGCGUCUUCAUUGUUUAUGAAAUUUUAUGAUGGGUUGUUUAUUUAUUUUUAUAUCAGGUGAUUGAUGAAAUAUUUAAUAGAAUAGAUUGUGAUUAUUAGUAACUGUUUGCUCAUUGAACAUACUUUAAAUGUUGUCUAUUGUUAGUAGCGUGCUAUGGCGGUGUGGCAUAGUCACACAUCCCCCACUGUCCCACCCAAGGCCCUCGAAGCGCCUUUGUCAGUUUCACUCGGUGCUAUUUGAGAUUAACAAUAUAGGUAGUAGUAGUGCAUGAUAUGCUUGGUGCUCGAUCCAUAUGUACUAUAUGUGCUAAUAUGAUGUCUUACUAGUUGGAUAAGGCCAUCUUGAAUUGAAAUGAAGAAUUUGCAAUGAAAUUUUAUACUUGUUUUCAGGUAUCUCAUUACCCAUGAUGCAGUGGAUUCGAGAAAUAGACAAUGCAGUGGACAAAGAACUUAGGAAAUUGCGGAAGCAUUAGUCCACAUAUUGAAUUUUGGUACGUUUCUAGUGCGAAGGUUAGGAAGUUUGAUGCAUUGCUAGGAUUCGGUCUGAGCUUUAGGCACCCCCUCAUGUUUUUAUAUUUGUGUUUGAAGUUGUUGUGGUUUAGCCAGAUUUUGUUUUGAGGUUCUCUCCUAAUUUUUUAUACUUACUUUGUUCAAAACAAGAACAGGAAGGAUGUGCUUAAAAAAGACUUGCUAAAAGAAGUUCAAGGAUAGUCAACAUGACUUGCAUUUUCUCAAAAUUUUCAACAUGUUGAGGCAACUCCUUCAUAAUUCAUUCAAUAACACACAUAGGAAGAAACAGUUUGAUAUAAAUAAAAAAACAACCUUGAAUUUCUCUAACAAAUCAUUUGUAUAAACAGUAAAGUGCAAAGUUGUGUGUUAAAAUAGAAAAGGAUUAUAGCAGAGGAAGGGACAAAUC